CGCAGUAGAGCGGACGGAUGAGAGUCGCGCUCCGCAGAUUUCGAGUGCCGGGUUCUCUACCUCCUGGAUCCUGCGCUCCGGGUCCGCUUCCUGGUACAACUCGACAUCCAGGAAAAGCGCUCCGUAGUUUCUGCGUUCAAGGUCCACUACCAGCAGGAACUUGACUUCCAGGACAAGUGCUCCGUAGUUCUGGCUGUCCAGGCCCACUACCUGCAGGAACUAGACUUGCAGGUCAAGCGCUCCGUGUGUCCUGCGCUUCAGGACGAACGCUGCGUGGUUCCUGCGCUCCAGGUUCACUACCUGGUGAAACUCGACUUCCAGGACGAACGCUCCGUGGUUUCUGCACACCUGGUCCGCUACCUAGUAAAACUCAAUUUCAGGAAGAAGUGCUCCGAAGUUACUGAGCUCAAGGUCCACUACCUGGUAAAACUCAACUUCCAGGACAAGCGCUCCGUAGCUUCUGCGCUCCAAGUCCACUACCUAAUGAAACUCGACUUCAGGGACAUGUGGUGAAUAAGGAGGAAGAGGACGAGGAUUUCUGCUCAGUAUAACCCGAGGUGAUUGGAGGUGGUUGGAGGUGGUCGGAGGUGAACGAGGAGGAGGACGAGGAAGACAAGGAGAACGAGUUGGACGACAAGGACGAGGAUUUGUGCUCGGUACAACCCGAGGUGGUUAUCGGUGGUUGUUC